rnacentral:rRNA from 1 species
GAUGAACGCUGGCGGCGUGCUUAACACAUGCAAGUCGAGCGAAGCACUUAAGUUUGAUUCUUCGGAUGAAGACUUUUGUGACUGAGCGGCGGACGGGUGAGUAACGCGUGGGUAACCUGCCUCAUACAGGGGGAUAACAGUUAGAAAUGACUGCUAAUACCGCAUAAGACCACGGUACCGCAUGGUACAGUGGUAAAAACUCCGGUGGUAUGAGAUGGACCCGCGUCUGAUUAGGUAGUUGGUGGGGUAACGGCCUACCAAGCCGACGAUCAGUAGCCGACCUGAGAGGGUGACCGGCCACAUUGGGACUGAGACACGGCCCAGACUCCUACGGGAGGCAGCAGUGGGGAAUAUUGCACAAUGGAGGAAACUCUGAUGCAGCGACGCCGCGUGAAGGAUGAAGUAUUUCGGUAUGUAAACUUCUAUCAGCAGGGAAGAAAAUGACGG